AUGUGAUUUGGGUUGAAUGUGAUAGAACUUGAAAGUUAGGGGUGUUAGUGUAAUGCAAAAGUAUAUGAGUACAUAUAUAGGUGUGUGGGUGUGUGAGAGCCACACAAUCAUUUUCCUCACCCUCUCUUCUCACACACGACAGAGCUCUCUCUCCCUCUCUCUGUCCGACACACUCACUCUCUCUCUCUCUCUCUCUCUCUCUCUCUCUCUCGGGUCUUGCAUCCAUAGCUCAAACCCAUGAAAACCCAGCCUCUCUAUGCCGUGUUCUAACUUCCCCGACGUGUGAGUUGCGUUGAUUAAGCUUGGAAGGGGUGUAUCUCGGUGGAUUUCGAAUUUGAAACCCUAGAAGUUCGAUUGAGCUUGAGCUUGUGCUUUCGAUCUUUGAGAUCUUGCAGAAAUUCCCUAGGACUCUACAAAGCUCCAUUUUGGUUGAUUCUUGAGCCAAAAGUUCCGUGUUUGAGUCUACUAUCUAGGAAAAAUAUGAACAGAAAUUCAUACUCAUAAAUUAUACCCAGAAACGUCCAUUCUCCAAUCUGUAUUCCAGAUCUGGAUGUCCUGUUUUUGGUCCCAGACAGCAGUUCGUAUUUUGGGCAUAACUCUUUCAUGCGAUGUCAGUUAGAUUCGAUUCAAAUUGCGUUGGACAGCUGAUUCGAUCCUCUACAACUUUGUUUCAAUACUCGCUUUCGGAUUCUGAGGUUUGGUGGACCAAAAUGGGCUUGCAAUCAGAGUCGAGAAACUCGAAACACUUGGUUUUGUGCAAUCUGUUAAAGUAAUGGCGUUACCGGACUUGUAUUGGUUAUUAUGUGAAAUAGUUCAUAAACGAUGAGUGGUUAAUAGUGAUAAUUACGAAUGAGAUGGGUGACGGCUUGGGAUAAUUAGUCCUUCAGGUUUCAUUUCUUGAACUUUUGGUACAUGUUUGGUACUUGUUGGUAUAAGCCGAUGGUGUGAGGUCGAUAGGCCUGAACAUGAGAUUGUGUAUGAUGAAGUGGGAAUAGUGUGAGGUCCCAAAUGCUCGGUAGGGGAUAGUGUGAGGUCCCGAAUGCUCGGAUUAAAAUUGUAUGACAAGGAUACAGAAAUGAGAUGUAUGAUACAUUUAAAAUGCCUGAUGUAGUGGUACUUCGAUAGAAAUAGAAAUAGACAAGUAGCAAUUCCAUGUGUUAGGUUGUUUCGUUAAGUUCGUGAAGUCAUAGGUGAAAGAUGGAAUGUGGGUAAAAAUGGUAUCGAUUGGGCGUUAAACUCCUUAUUCGGUUUAAACUUUCUUGUUGGCGACUUAGAGAAUUGUGUCCUCAUUCAUUCAUUACACUUUACUCAAUUCAUAUAAACGUAGCGCCGAUUUCUCUACUGGGCUAGUGUAGCUCAAUCUAUCAUCAUUUUUAGGUACACCUCAAGAGCAUUGAUUUUGGAGUGCAUGGAGUGCAUCUUUGACAUCGUAUAUUUUGAAAGCUGACAAUCAGGAGUUGUUCUAGCAUCUUAGCAUACUCCCUUUUGAAAGAUGCAAUUGUAACUUCAUUUGAACGCUUUUGACUUUGGGAAUCAUGUAAUCGCUAAACUUAUCGUCUUUUGACUAAUUCUGGAAAUUGUGCCCAGGAUGCCAAUAUUGUAACUCUGUUCAAACUUGAUUUUAUUCUCUCGCAUGAAUUAUGAAAAA